CAGUCGCCACGGGAAUACGUAGGUGGCAAGCGUUAUCCGGAAUUAUUAGGCGUAAAGCGCGCGUAGGCGGUUUUUUAAGUCUGAUGUGAAAGCCCACGGCUCAACCGUGGAGGGUCAUUGGAAACUGGAAAACUUGAGUGCAGAAGAGGAAAGUGGAAUUCCAUGUGUAGCGGUGAAAUGCGCAGAGAUAUGGAGGAACACCAGUGGCGAAGGCGACUUUCUGGUCUGUAACUGACGCUGAUGUGCGAAAGCGUGGGGAUCAAACAGGAUUAGAUACCCCCGUAGUCCCUGUCUCUUAUAC
rnacentral:rRNA from 1 species